CCUACGGGUGGCAGCAGUGGGGAAUCUUGCGCAAUGGGCGAAAGCCUGACGCAGCGACGCCGCGUGAGGGAUGAAAGUCUUCGGAUCGUCAACCUCUGUCAGCAGGGAAGAACGGUCACUGUGCUAAUCAGCAGUGAAUUGACGGUACCUGCAAAGGAAGCACCGGCUAACUCCGUGCCAGCAGCCGCGGUAAUACGGAGGGUGCGAGCAUUAAUCGGAAUUACUGGGCGUAAAGCGCUCGUAGGCGGUAUGUCAAGUCAAGGGUGAAAUCCCCGCGCUCAACGUGGGAACUGCCUUUGAAACUAGCAAACUGGAGUGUGUGAGAGGAUAGUGGAAUUCCAGGUGUAGGAGUGAAAUGCGUAGAUAUCUGGAGGAACAGCAGUGGCGAAGGCGACUAUCUGGCACAUAACUGACGCUGAGGAGCGAAAGCGUGGGUAGCAAACAGGAUUAGAUACCCGUGUAGUC
rnacentral:rRNA from 1 species